GCCAAAUUAGAGCUGGUGAAGUCCAGUUUUUAUCAUUUAAGGCGACUGGCAAGAGUGAAAUCUUUUCUUUCAAGGCACCUCGAAACAGUCAUCCAUGCUUUUAUUUCUUCCCGUCUGGAGGCAGUCUCUCUUCAGCGGAAGGAAAAAAUGAUAUGGUUUAAAAAUGCCAUGUCACUGCUUUCCUCAUCCCUUGCACAGAUCAAUCCACAUGUUCAUAGCAUGCCUUUUUUUCUCUGAAAUAUGCUGAGCAAACCUGUAUUGUUGACAUUUCUUAUAUGUCAAUCAGCGUAUCACCACUGAUUUAGUGAGUAAAUGUUUAUUCUCAUUCAAACUGUUUUUGUGCCUUCUUGCAGUUUAGCACUUUAUGAAGUUGCUAGCUAGCCAGUGCUGCCUCUCGGCUCAUGUUGGUUAAAAAAUUAACCCCACAGCUUUAAAAACCUUAUAUAAAAGACUGAGCAAAUUUACUGUUGCUCAUUUGAAAUAGAAAAGUAAGCGUUGCAGAAGCCAAGACGAAACAUUUCCAGAGGGUGCAGCCCUUAGGGGUUCGGCUUGUUUUAAUUCAUAUGGACUUUUAUAACAUAUUAACUGUAUAUUCUUAGACCCGGCAUUUAUUCUAAUGCUUUGUUGCUGCUUUUGAAUAUCUGUGGCAUCUGUUAAUGUCAAAUCUAGCCAUUCUUUAGCAAGCUAUUUUUACAUUUAACCAACAUUUCUGUUUAAUUUCAUUUUAAAUAAUACUAGUAUUUGUUAGUUUUAAUAGUAUUUUAGAUUCAUGUUUUGUUGUGAAAUUCAAAAGCUAUAAACCAGAUUAGGGUUACAAUCUAAUUGGGCUUUAUAGCUGAAAAGUAAUUUAGCUUCUUCUAAACAAAUUAGUUAAACUCUACUAUUGAAUCAUCAGAAACAUUUUGGGGUAGACUAUGUUAAAUAUAAAUAUACAUACAAUGGUUAUUGUGCUUUUUAGAAACUAUAUAUUGGAAGUUAGCUUUUAACAAGCAUGUAAUGAUUUCAUUUAAUUUAGGUGGUCUUUUUUUUUAUAACACACAUCUCUUUAGGCCUAAACUGACAUUGGCAAUACCACACAUUCAGACAUAGUAGUAGAUAGUGUUUUAAAUGACUAUUUUUUUCUAUUAUUUUUAUUAAUAAGUAUAUGUGCUAGUCUAAUUAGUUAGUAUGAGGUGUACAUUGUGUUUCUAUAUUUUAAGCUAUAAUGGUUGCAAAGUCAAUAAGAAGCAAUCUCAGCUUCCAAACAAUUUUCUUUUUUUUUCUCCCUCUGCUUGCUUUCUUUGAGGCUCUGGGCCAGCACUCCCCACAUUACAUCAAACACAUGCAAGAAGACAUCAACUGGGUGGGUCUUGUUCACGAGUGAACGAAGAGAGGAAUGAGAGAUCGACAGAUGGAUGUUGCUGCAGCUGCAGUGAUGUGGACGCUAUACCAGUCUGUUGUGGUGAAGAGUCAUUCAAGAGGGGUAGAGUAGAGUUGCUACUCGUCCACAUCGAAAGAAGCAAGUUGAGGACACCAGUAGUGAUAAGCCCUCCGUCACAGAAGGUGUGUGGUCAGUGAAGAUGGUCACCUGCAGGUUUGAGGUCAUUGCACUUCCAACCCACAUCCACUGCCCUUAAGGGAAGUUGCAACAAUGUCAAAGACUUCAUUGAGGCACUUACAUUUGGAUCGUCUAAAUCCAUGGCAGUCAUUCAGGCAGUAAUGCCAAGAAUGGAAACAAACCAUCCUUAAAAUGUUACAAGACACAAAGCUCCUGUGUUUGAAUGCAAAACAAAUGUGUUGUUUGAGCUGAACAAUAAAUACAUUUUAUACUGAUUAUAUCAGCAAUGUAACUUGCAAUACAAAGUUAUGGGAAGCUUUAACUUAGUUUCAGAAUAAUUAAAUCUGAGAAUUUGUCUCAGUGUAAGGUUAUUAAAGGUUUAAAUUAUCUUAACAAUUAAACAUACAAUUUAAUUGUACUAAUAUUUAAAAUCUAAUGGGGGAAUGGGAAUAUACUUAUUUGUUGUUAAACAUAACAGUGUCCAGUAUGUUGGCUGACAUACUUUUUUGCAUUUGAAAAAAAGGCUGGGAUAAUUUUAACUGCAUUGCAAGUGCUUUUAAUUUUUGUUUUUGAAUCAUACUUGUACUAGAAAUCUCUUAAGUUUAAGGAUGAUAAAACAUAAUGUGAUUUAGCUGCAUUUAUUUGUAUGUAAGGAAAAUUAAAAAUAGUAAGUCACCACAAUUUCUUUUUUUAACUUAGUAGAACUUGAAAUGUUUAUCAGUAGGGUAAACAAUUAGUAUUGCUCACUCAAAAAUAUCAAGUUAUUCUUAGUACUGUGUACUCGCAAUGAAUAAGCUGUCCUUAGUUAUCUUAAGUGAGCUUUACUUUAGUUCUGGGAACUAAUUCGAUUUUACAGGGCAUAAGGGCACCUCUUAGUUAAAUUAUGGAUGAUGGAACCUCAACUGCUGACACUACUGUCCCUGACACUGAGCUUUGAAUGCAACCAUCAUGGUCAGAACAUCUAACAGUCAGGUAACCCUUGGCUACUGGUAGGUUUUGUAUUACAGAGUGCAAGAAAGGUCUGUCAGAAGAUGUAUGUGGAGGGGCAGAAUAUUUUAUUAUUUCGGUAUAAAAGCAUGAAUGGACAUUCAAGUGUUUUUUUGAUAUUGUUUUUUUAUUUCAUCCCCACAUGAUCAGAAAUGUGUGGAGGUAAACAAUGCCAAGUUAUUGAGCUCAAGAGGUAGAGACCAACACGGUGAAUUCUUAAUAUACAUAUUCACAGUGUUGCCGUGACAAAAUAAUUAAAAAUAAUAACAAAAAAUGCAUUUUUCUUAGACAUAUCUACAACUGCUGUACACACAAGUUAUAGUUAAGAUGACUGCAUUUCUUUUAAUUGUUACAGGAUUUUCUGUCCACAUCCUAGUUGCAGGGUAAAAAUCAAGAAAAUAUAUACAUUUGUAUGCAAGUUUUUAAAAAAAAUUUUUCACAGCCUUAGAAAUGUACAGGCUAAUACAAUCCCUAUACAGUGUUUUUUUUGUGUGUUUUUUGUAGGUUGUUGUAGAUUUGCUUCUCUAUAUAACAUAUAUAUACAUAGUUAUUUUCUGAGGUGUGAAAAGAAUGCAUACCAUAGGACACAAGAACAGAUUGAUAACAAGUCUAAAAAUAUAUUAAAUAAAUUACGUCAAAAACUUUGUUUCUCCUGAAGACAGUGUACACACAUGAGAAAGAGCAGGGGCACAUAUUUGCACUGGAUUACCAUCUAGGGAAAAACAUGUAGAAAAGACCAUGUCAUUUUUGAGAUGUUCAUGUGCUACUUUUCUCCUGUCUGAGAAGAGCUGCUCAGUACAAUUCUUGAAGAAUGUCUAUAGUAUGUGAUGACAGAUUCAAGUAGAAAGAACAAGGUUAAAACAAAAUUUACUGCUGGUUUAACUGCCAGUCACUCAUUUUCACCAGAUCAGUUACUUUGUAUUUUGACAGGUUCCGAUUGGUCCUUCUAAUGAAAAAGCUUUCUUCUCACCAGAAGAAAGCUACUUUAGCUCACUAUGAUUUUAGUUUUUUGAAUAUGUAUUUCCCAGUCUAAGUCUGAUUCUUCCGUUGCUGUUCCAUUCCAACCAUCUAUAUGUGAUAACACACAAACAACGCUUUGCUUUGGCUAACCAACAACCACCCAAAAAGUCAGUGGCUCACCAAAGAAUUAAAAUUUUAAUUAUUUUUCUGCAUAUUUUCUUUUUACUGUA